CUAGCCUAGUGGACAUGGCAUCUGCCCGGUAAGCGGAACACUGUGGGUUCGAUUCCCAUCCCAAGA